rnacentral:lncRNA from 1 species
CGAGGCGCGCACCACGCGGCCCCUUCCUCCAGGCAUUCGCACCACCCCCCACUCCCGUUGCAUGCUGGGAUUGUAGUUGAUCGCCUGCGAUCAACGGCCGGAAGCGGCUAAAACUACUCCUGCCUGCAUACCCCGCAGGAGCAAACCGCGCCAUGUCUCCCUCCAGGGAUCCGCACCGCUCACAAUCCUGUUUAGUGCUGGGAUUGUAGUCCUGCGAGCCUACGACUAAUAGCUGGGUGCGGAUAAGAGACUACAGCUCCCCCCAUUCCCAGCAAAGGUCCCUCCUCCACCGAGCUCCUCCAGGCUUCCAGUGCAGUUCCGCCGUGCGGAGGGAAGCUUGGCUGUUCACAAACCUCUCCUGCCCGCGAGGAGACAGCUUGGCCAGGGCGGCUGAUCUCACCUUGUCAUUGUGACACGGUGUCUCCCCAACGUGCUGGCUUCAUGACUUGUGCCCAGAGUUUGAUUUUCCACAGACCAGGUAGAGGCCAAGAGCCUCUCACAGACUCUGCAGCAGGGUUGCUAUGGUAACGCUUGCGCCCCCGCCCCCCCCAGCAGCCGGCUCGACACCGCCCUUUCCCUCUGAAGGGCCACUCGUUUUAGCCACGUCCUCUUAUUGUCCCUCCCCUGGCCACACCCCUUCAGACAUGCGUAGUGCUCCCCUUGGUCCAGCGCGGGAAGCUCCCUCGUGAGUGUCCGAAACUAUUAGCUCACUCACUGCCUCAUGUGAAGAUUAACUCUUAAGUACUCCACAACUACACGCUUUUGAAACUGGCGUUGGCAUAGCGUUAGUUCUGUGCAGGGCGGACGCAGCAGGACAGAAUCUCCCUGGGCAUCUUUUCGGAGCAUCAAUUUUACUGCAAAAUUUUGAAAAAACAAAUUUAAUUGAUUUCCAAGGUUUGUCAAGGAGGACAGAAACUCAGAGCACCCUGCACUUGGGGAUCGGCACUAGGAGCUGCUCUCUGGAUGGGGAGAUGGGAGCUAGCAGCUCACAAUGGGGUCACAAGGACCCUUGUGAUUAUAUUAAGCUCACCCUAGUAAUCCAGGAUAACCUCCCUGCUUUAAAGUUAAGUGACUAUAACCUUUAUUCUAUCUGCAAUGUUAUUUCCCAUUGCUGCAUGACCUAAUAUAUCUGCAGUCUGGGGAUUAGGAUGUGGACACCGUUGGAAAAGCAUUAGUCUGUUUAUCACCGAUCUUAUUCACUAUUUUUAUUAAAUAUUAUUCUGGCCAUCUUCUAAU